rnacentral:rRNA from 1 species
UACAGAGGUCCCAAGCGUUGUUCGGAUUCACUGGGCGUAAAGGGUGCGUAGGCGGUCGGGUAAGUCUGAUGUGAAAUCUCACAGCUUAACUGUGAAACUGCAUUGGAUACUAUCCGGCUCGAGGAAUGGAUGGGAGACUGGAAUACUUGGUGUAGCAGUGAAAUGCGUAGAUAUCAAGUGGAACACCAGUGGCGAAGGCGAGUCUCUGGACAUUUCCUGACGCUGAGGCACGAAAGCCAGGGGAGCAAACGGG